rnacentral:rRNA from 1 species
AUGAACGCUGGCGGCGUGCCUAAUACAUGCAAGUCGAGCGAACGGACGAGAAGCUUGCUUCUCUGAUGUUAGCGGCGGACGGGUGAGUAACACGUGGAUAACCUACCUAUAAGACUGGGAUAACUUCGGGAAACCGGAGCUAAUACCGGAUGAUAUUUUGAACCGCAUGGUUCAAAAGUGAAAGACGGUCUUGCUGUCACUUAUAUAUGGAUCCGCGCUGCAUUAGCUAGUUGGUAAGGUAACGGCUUACCAAGGCAACGAUGCAUAGCCGACCUGAGAGGGUGAUCGGCCACACUGGAACUGAGACACGGUCCAGACUCCUACGGGAGGCAGCAGUAGGGAAUCUUCCGCAAAGGGCGAAAGCCUGACGGAGCAACGCCGCGUGAGUGAUGAAGGUCUUCGGAUCGUAAAACUCUGUUAUUAGGGAAGAACAUAUGUGUAAGUAACUGUGCACAUCUUGACGGUACCUAAUCAGAAAGCCACGGCUAACUACGUG